rnacentral:rRNA from 1 species
GAUAAACGCUGGCGGCGUGCCUAAUGCAUGCAAGUCGAACGGUUCUCGCAAGAGGACAGUGGCAAACGGGUGAGUAACACGUGGGAAUCUGCCCAAGAGUGGGGAAUAACUUUGCGAAAGUAAAGCUAAUACCGCAUACGGUCGCAAGACUAAAGGAGAAAUCCGCUUUUGGAGGAGCCUGCGGCUGAUUAGCUAGUUGGUGGGGUAAGAGCCUACCAAGGCGAUGAUCAGUAGCUGGUCUGAGAGGAUGGACAGCCACACUGGGACUGCGACACGG